rnacentral:rRNA from 1 species
AGCGAACGCUGGCGGCAGGCCUAACACAUACAAGUCGAGCGGCCGUAGCAAUACGGCAGCGGCAGACGGGAGAGUAACACGUGGGAACGCGCCCUUCGGUUCGGGAUAACUCAGGGAAACUUGGGCUAAUACCGGAUACGCCCUUACGGGGAAAGAUUUAUUGCCGAAGGAACGGCCCGCGUCCGAUUAGCUUGUUGGUGAGGUAACGGCUCACCAAGGCGACGAUCGGUAGCUGGUCUGAGAGGAUGACCAGCCUCACUGGGACUGAGACACGGCCCAGACUCCUACGGGAGGCAGCAGUGGGGAAUAUUGGACAAUGGGCGCAAGCCUGAUCCAGCCAUGCCGCGUGGGUGAUGAAGGCCCUAGGGUUGUAAAGCCCUUUCAGCGGGGAAGAUAAUGACGGUACCCGCAGAGGAAGCCCCGGCUAACUUCGUGCCAGCAGCCGCAGUAAAAC